ACGCUCCCCAGCUGAGCUGCCCGAUCCUGCUCCUGCUUGCUCGCAAGUAGGAGUGGGAUUGGGCAGCUCAGCUGGGGAGCGU
rnacentral:miRNA from 1 species